rnacentral:rRNA from 1 species
ACGGAGGGUGCAAGCGUUAUUCGGAAUUACUGGGCGUAAAGCGCGCGCAGGCGGUUGAUUAAGUCUGAUGUGAAAGCCCACGGCUCAACCGUGGAGGGUCAUUGGAAACUGGUCAGCUUGAGUGUAGUAGAGGGAGGUAGAAUUCCAGGUGUAGCGGUGAAAUGCGUAGAGAUAUGGAGGAACACCAGUGGCGAAGGCGGCCUCCUGGACUAUAACUGACGCUGAGGCGCGAAAGCGUGGGGAGCAAACAG